rnacentral:rRNA from 1 species
CCUACGGGAGGCAGCAGUGAGGAAUAUUGGUCAAUGGGCGGAAGUCUGAACCAGCCAAGCCGCGUGCAGGAAGACUGCCCUAUGGGUUGUAAACUGCUUUUGUACAGGGAUAAAGCGAAACACGUGUAUUCUGUUGAAAGUACUUUACGAAUAAGGAUCGGCUAACUCCGUGCCAGCAGCCGCGGUAAUACGGAGGAUCCAAGCGUUAUCCGGAUUUAUUGGGUUUAAAGGGUGCGUAGGAGGGUUGUUAAGUCAGUGGUGAAAGUUUCGGGCUUAACCCUGGAAUUGCCUUUAAUACUGGCGAUCUUGAGUGCAGGUGCGGUAGGCGGAAUGCAUGGUGUAGCGGUGAAAUGCUUAGAUAUCACGCAGAACUCCGAUUGCGAAGGCAGCUUACUAAACUGCAACUGACAUUGAUGCACGAAAGUGUGGGGAUCAAACAGGAUUAGAUACCCCUGUAGUC